AAGGGGACCCCAAAUAGCAUAUUUCUGAGAAUAAAUAAAUUCUGCUGUACAAAAGAAAUCUCUGAAAACGUGUGGUUUUGUAUCACUUUUAAUUCCCGUUGUGACAUAUACGUCACAAACAUUUCAAGUGACUAUAUUUCAUCCCUCCCCCCAAAAGAAUCUAUAAUAUUCUUUGAAAAUGUACUCAGAACAUCUUAUGAGUAUUUUACAUGCAUUGCAUUUUCAGAAACUCUCUCUAUUUAACAACAUAAGAGACCAAUCGGAGGAGCAAGACGUGAGGUUUUCCAUUGGUUAUGCCCACCACAGACGGCCAAUCAGAUUGAGAUCUGGUGACUGGGCAAGCUACUGCAGGAAGUUGAAUUACCAUGUUUAUGGAGCCAUUCCUGUACGAUCUUAUCCUUGCGGCAUUGGGGUAUUAUCCGGCUGAAGAAAAUAAUAUAUUCGCAGAUGGAUACACUGCUGCCAACUGAUUGGCCGUAAUGCUCCACUUUUAUCAAGGGACCCAAUGUGUGCCAUGAAAACGCACCCCGACACCAUCCCACUGGCCUGCCAUGUUGACACGCGGCAUGAUGGACGCAUGGAAGUGGUUUUCUCUAUAACCUAGUCCUUGUCCAUCAGCGUGAAACAGCAGGAACCGGGAUUCAUUAGACCAGACAAUGUGUUUUUGUUCCUCAGCCCACUGCCACCACAGUUUCUUGUUUUGUUGUUGUUGUUGUUGUUGAAAGAAGUGGAAGUGUGUGAGGUUGUCAGUUGCCAUGUCCCAUUUGUGUCAAGGUACGACGAGUUGUGCAUCUUCUUAUGGGUACUUUGGGCAGCAACGUUGUACUGGACUGUCAGUUUACCUAACUUUAGUCCCGUCUGUUGCUCUGCGCAAUUCGUGACAGCCUCCUUUGUCCUCUUUCAUAAAUUACUCGUUUUCAAACCCUGGUUUUCCGUUGGCUGGAUGUCCUUUUGAUGUGGUGGAGCAUUUUUUUGGGAUACACACAGGAAACUGUCGAGCGUGGAAAAACCCAGCAGCGUUGCAGUUCUUAACACUGAAAGCUGGCACCUACUACCAUAACCCUGUUCAAAGGCACUUUGAUCGUUUGUCUUGCCCCUCUGAAUGGCACACCUACACAAACCUGAUCAGUCUAUGUCAUGGAAAAGAGCAGGUGUUCCCUCAUGUCUUGUACACUCAGUGUGUAUGUCGCAUCAGGUUUUAAAGGGUUAAAACAGAAGAGGAACCCCUGCCUGCAAGGCAGAGUGGUGGAGUGGUGGAGUAGUAGAGUGGUGGAGUGGUGGAGUGGUGGAGUGGUGGGGUGGGGGAGUGGUGGAGUGGUGGAGUGUGGUGGUGGAGUGGUGGGGUGGUGGAGUGGUGGAGUG
ensembl:lncRNA